rnacentral:rRNA from 1 species
AUUGAACGCUGGCGGCAGGCCUAACACAUGCAAGUCGAGCGGAUGAAGGGAGCUUGCUCCUGGAUUCAGCGGCGGACGGGUGAGUAAUGCCUAGGAAUCUGCCUGGUAGUGGGGGAUAACGUCCGGAAACGGGCGCUAAUACCGCAUACGACCUGAGGGUGAAAGUGGGGGAUCGUCGGACCUCACGCUAUCAGAUGAGCCUAGGUCGGAUUAGCUAGUUGGUGGGGUAAAGGCCUACCAAGGCGACGAUCCGUAACUGGUCUGAGAGGAUGAUCAGUCACACUGGAACUGAGACACGGUCCAGACUCCUACGGGAGGCAGCAGUGGGGAAUAUUGGGCAAUGGGCGAAAGCCUGAUCCAGCCAUGCCGCGUGUGUGAAGAAGGUCUUCGGAUUGUAAAGCACUGUAAGUUGGGAGGAAGGGCAGUAAGUUAAUACCUUGCUGUUUUGACGUUACCAACAGAAUAAGCACCGGCUAACUACGUG